rnacentral:rRNA from 1 species
UACGUAGGGCGCAAGCGUUGUCCGGAAUUAUUGGGCGUAAAGAGCUCGUAGGCGGUUUGUCGCGUCUGCUGUGAAAACCUAAGGCUCAACCUUGGGCUUGCAGUGGGUACGGGCAGACUAGAGUCCGGGAAGAGGAGAGUGGAAUUCCUGGUGUAGCGGUGAAAUGCGCAGAUAUCAGGAAGAACACCCGUGGCGGAAGGCGGCU